rnacentral:rRNA from 1 species
UACGGAGGGGACUAGCGUUGUUCGGAAUUACUGGGCGUAAAGCGCACGUAGGCGGUUUUGUAAGUCAGGGGUGAAAUCCCGGGGCUCAACCUCGGAACUGCCUUUGAUACUGCAAAUCUCGAGUCCGGAAGAGGUGAGUGGAAUUCCUAGUGUAGAGGUGAAAUUCGUAGAUAUUAGGAAGAACACCAGUGGCGAAGGCGGCUCACUGGCCCGGUACUGACGCUGAGGUGCGAAAGCGUGGGGAGCAAACAGG